AGACAUGUUGGUUUAGCAGACAUUGAGAAGAUCCCUUCGCUGGAGGAAGGCGCCCUGACCUAACACUUGGCCAACGUCCAGACACAGCAGUUAGGCAGCUCCCUCUCCAUCUUCGUCCAGGUGGCACAGUUGGCCUCCAGGUUCACCCUUGGCUUAGUGGCAGAGGCUGUAGGUGUCACAGCACGGCCCCCCACUGAUCUCAUGAAGACCCAAUGCAGAACCAUUGGAGCGUCGCCUCUCUGGUGGGAGAGCUCAUGUACAAGAACAGCUUCAACAGCAUUAAGAUGGUGAUGUACUUUGUGGGCUUCUUAAGCCUUUACCAAGGUCAGUAUGCAUGAAUAAGAACCUCCUUUUCAUCUGAUGUGUGUACCAUGUUUUAAAAAUGCAUGGUUACUCUGAACUCUUGUAUAAUAGUGUAGCAGCUAGCUUAUUUGAGCUAAUAAAGUUAAGACAUUAUAUGUGCUUUCCAGAUCUUUCUUUUCAGCUUGUAGAGAUGACCAUGGUGGUUACCGUGGUUAUGUUAAAAGCAAUGUACCAAAUGUAGGUUUGCGUACAAUACAUUUGAUUUAUUAAAGAACGCCUGAGAUAAAUUGGCCAAACAUUUUUAAAAACAGACUUGGAGAGAACAUUUAAAAAAAGAGCUGAGAUUGAGAGAGAAGAAAGGAGACAAGAGUAGAAGGGACAAUAAAAGAGACGAGAGAGGAGAAGAAAAGUGUAGGGUGGACGGAGGGCGGUUCGAGUUCACCUCUCUGUUGACCUGUCUCCUUUGAAGUGAUUACCGGCUGGCCGGGGACUUUCAGAGCAGGACAAUGAACGUCACACGCAAGGCAACAUACCUUUAAGCCCGUGUCACAAUGUGACGAUGCCCCCCUUCAGAACUUACACACUCAUACAAACAUACACAGACACUGAGCAGUUGCACAAGUAUGUGGGCGUGCACGCAUGGACAGGCAGGCGACUUCUUGGGCAGGCAGGUACGCACAUACCAGGGCUAAUGACUACCUGCCCUGUCUACAGAAACUGGGGUUAGGGUGUCUGUGUCUUUAUUGUUGGGGUCAGAUUGAAGAAGAAUUGAAAAAAGGAUCCCUGGAAUGAUGGCAGGGCCUUUAAAAAAAAUCCCAUGUUUUUGAUUGACAGCUCUGGGCUCCCGAGAGGAAACUUGAAUGCUUGAAUUUCUGUGGGAAACACAAAGGACGUCAGAAGUGGAAUGGCCUCACAGACACAGAGACAGACAGGUCUGGCUCCAGGUAGCUGGCCAGACAGGUAUCCCUACUGCCCCACUGUAGUUAUGUAAUAUAGGUUGAAAGUGCCUUCACUGAAAGCCUCUCCUGAGAGAAGAAUCUAGCAGAUCUAGCAUCACGGAUUUGGCACAAUUGAUUAUAAUUCUGAUAUAAAACAGCACAAAUAGGAGCAGAGCAUAUUUCCUCAUUCUUCUUCCUAAUUUGAAAUGCUCAACUAAAACAAAUUAGGUGUUUCUUUCUGUUACUGUGUGUGUGUAUACAAGUAUUUUCUGUGUUAAAAGGAAGAUUUUUGUUAAGAGAUCCCUUUCCCAAAACUUAAAUUGAGUGUAUGAUUAUGUGUGUGUAUUUGUGUGUAUAACAAGGCCACACACACACACAAACUUACAGUAGAUUAUUAACAGUGUUUAUUUAUUUGAGUAAAUGUUUGUUUGUGUGUGUUUGUGUUUGUGCGUGUGUGUGUGUGUGUGUGUGUGUGUGUGUGUGUGUGUGUGUGUGUGUGUGUGUGUGUGUGUGUAUAUGUGUAUGUGUGUGCUUCUUGCCUUGGUUCUGGGUAGGGGGCCAAGUUUCAUUGUGCUCUGUUGUGAUUAUUUUGUUUAUUUUUAUCCUGCUCUGGGCUGUAAUUGAGGUCUGCGUAAACUUUUGGUCGGUUUGUUUUAUACUCUGCCGGUUUUUUUUUUUCCUAUUCUGGGAAGCAGUUCCCUCUCUUCAUCCUCUCUUUUACCCCGUCUUCCUCUCUCUUGUUGCUACUCUGAUGUCCCCACACUCCACAUCAAUAGAUUUCAUUAGAGCCUGGGGGAUCCUGCAGGGUCGGACGCAUGCAGCGGGAAGCCGCACAUCAUGUGGAGUGUGUGGAAGUCGUAUAUGUAUAUCCAUGUAUGUGUGUGUGUGUGUGUGUGUGUGUGUGUGUGUGUGAGUAGGGGUACCACAGCACUCUUUUUUUCUAAUCAUCUCGUCGUUUUCUAAUGAUAGGUCUUAUACCACAGCUACUGGGUGUGGCGCCCAAAAGAGCCAUAAAGCUCACAGUAAGUCACUGGGUUAGAGAGCACACAGACACAUGCAUGCACAGACAGAAUGUCUUCCAAUGCUUCAAUCUUUUAGGAUGGAUUCGAUGAGCUGGUGUGUGAACGCAGCAGGAAACUUCACCAUGAGUGAGCAGGUGGGAGUGAUGAAAUCUAUAUCACGCAACCCAUUGGUGAUUUGGUGC